UGGGGAAUCUUGCACAAUGGGGGAAACCCUGAUGCAGCGACGCCGCGUGAGCGAUGAAGGUUUUCGAAUCGUAAAGCUCUGUCCUAGGGGAAGAUAAUGACGGUACCAUAGGAGGAAGCCCCGGCUAACUACGUGCCAGCAGCCGCGGUAAUACGUAGGGGGCGAGCGUUGUCCGGAAUGACUGGGCGUAAAGGGUUCGCAGGCGGCAUGACAAGUCCGAUGUAAAAGGCGAAAGCUCAACUUUCGUAAGCAUCGGAAACUGUCAAGCUUGAGUGAAGGAGAGGCAAGUGGAAUUCCUAGUGUAGCGGUGGAAUGCGUAGAUAUUAGGAGGAAUACCGGUGGCGAAGGCGACUUGCUGGACUUCAACUGGCGCUGAGGAACGAAAGCGUGGGUAGCAAACAGG
rnacentral:rRNA from 1 species